GGGUGUGAUUAUACUAGUGCUAAUGCUCCAGAUCCCUCCAGAACUACGCAGUUAAGCGUGCUUGGGCGAGACUGGUACUAGGAUGGGUGACCUCCUAGGAAGUCCUAGUGUUGCGCCCC
rnacentral:rRNA from 1 species